rnacentral:rRNA from 1 species
GACGAACGCUGGCGGCGUGCUUAACACAUGCAAGUCGAACGGAAGGGCCCUGCGUUUGUUGGGUUCUCGAGUGGCGAACGGGUGAGUAUCACGCGAGUAUCCUGCCCUUGUCUUUGGGAUAACUUCACGAAACUGGGGCUAUUAUAGGAUAGGAUCUCCUGCUGCACGGUGUGGGAUGGAAAGAUACGGUGGUGGGGGAUGGACUCGCGGCUUAUCAGCUUGUUGGUCGGGUAGUGGAGUACCAAGGCUUUGAGGGGUAGCCGGCCUGGGAGGGUGACCGGCCACAUUGGUACUGAGGUACGGACCAGACUCCUACGGGAGGCAGUGGUGGGAAAUCUUGCGCAGUGGGCGGACGCGUGAUGCGGAAGCGCCGGGUGCGGAAUGCCGGCCUUCGAGUGGUAAACCGCUUUCGCAUGUGACGAGGCGUGAGUGACGGUAAUGGGUAAAGAAGCACCGGCUAACUACGUG